GCCCCCAUAGCUCAAUGGCAGAGCAGAGGACUCUUAAUCCUUUGAUGGAAGUUCGACUCUUCCUGGGGGCA
rfam:Candidatus Wildermuthbacteria bacterium RIFCSPHIGHO2_02_FTLL_49_9 rifcsphigho2_02_scaffold_14776, whole genome shotgun sequence.